GCCUAUCAGUAGUGAGUGGAUGGUCCCAGUACACUUUCACCUCAUCGUUUUCCUGAAUCUCUCUUGGGAGAUGGCUUGAUGGAAAACCUUCGCCAUAGCAUUAUGACGGUCGGUGUACUCUCUUGGAGCGAGGACAGGGCAAGACGACGUGACAUGUUGUAUCGUCUCCGGUGCACGAGAGCAUUUACGACACCUGUCACCGGCCGCUGGAUAUCUCCCAUGCAACGCUCUGUUGUGCCACACCUCAGUUAGUUCUUCAGUGGUGGGAUGUUGGACUGUGUAGUGCUCAG